AUUGAACGCUGGCGGCAGGCCUAACACGUGCAAGUCGAGCGGGGACUUCGGUCCUAGCGGCGAACGGGUGAGUAAUGCUUGGGAAUCUGCCCAGUAGUGGGGGAUAACGUCCCGAAAGGGACGCUAAUACCGCAUACGUCCUACGGGAGAAAGAGGGGGAUCUUCGGACCUCUCGCUAUUGGAUGAGCCCAAGUCGGAUUAGCUAGUUGGUAGGGUAAUGGCCUACCAAGGCGACGAUCCGUAGCUGGUCUGAGAGGAUGAUCAGCCACACUGGAACUGAGACACGGUCCAGACUCCUACGGGAGGCAGCAGUGGGGAAUAUUGGACAAUGGGCGAAAGCCUGAUCCAGCCAUGCCGCGUGUGUGAAGAAGGCCUUCGGGUUGUAAAGCACUUUAAGCGGGGAGGAAGGUUCGCGGCCUAAUACGUCGCGGAAUUGACGUUACCCGCAGAAUAAGCACCGGCUAACUCUGUG
rnacentral:rRNA from 1 species